GGUUAAGUCAGGCAACGAGCGAGACCCGUACCCACAGUUGCCAGCGGCUGCUCCGGCAGGCUGGGUACACUAUGGGGACCGCCUCUGCUAAAGAGGAGGAAGGAGCGGGCGACGGUAGGUCAGUAUGCCCCGAAUUCUCCGGGCUACACGCGGGCUACAAUGGAUGGGACAAUGGGUCCCGACACCGAAAGGUGAAGGCAAUCUCUUAACCCCAUUCUUAGUUCGGAUUGAGGGCUGAAACUCGCCCUCAUGAAGCUGGAAUCCGUAGUAAUCGCGUUUCAACAUAGCGCGGUGAAUACGUCCCUGCUCCUUGCACA
rnacentral:rRNA from 1 species